GACGAACGCUGGCGGCGCGCUUAACACAUGCAAGUCGAACGGAAAGGCCUGCUUUCCCUUGUGGAUUGCGGGUACUCGAGUGGCGAACGGGUGAGUAACACGCGAGUGAUCUGCCCCCAACUUGGGUAUAAGCCUGGGAAACUGGGUCUAAUUCCCGAUAGGACUGCAGGGUGGUGCCUGUGGUGGAAAACGAUUUUCUAGUGGUUGGGGAUGAGCUCGCGGCCUAUCAGCUUGUUGGUGGGGUAAUGGCCUACCAAGGCGGCGACGGGUAGCCGGCCUGAGAGGGUGGACGGCCACAUUGGGACUGAGAUACGGCCCAGACUCCUACGGGAGGCAGCAGUGGGGAAUAUUGCACAAUGGGCGGAAGCCUGAUGCAGCGACGCCGCGUGGGGGAUGACGGCCUUCGGGUUGUAAACUCCUUUCGACCGCGAGGAAGCCACCUGGUUGGAAGGGUGGUGACGGUAGUGGUAGAAGAAGCACCGGCUAACUACGUG
rnacentral:rRNA from 1 species